UACGGAGGGUGCGAGCGUUGUCCGGAAUCACUGGGCGUAAAGGGCGCGUAGGCGGCCUGAUAAGUAGGGGGUGAAAUCCUGCGGCUUAACCGCAGGGCUGCCUUCUAAACUGUCAGGCUCGAGCACAGUAGAGGCAGGUGGAAUUCCCGGUGUAGCGGUGGAAUGCGUAGAGAUCGGGAAGAACAUCAGUGGCGAAGGCGGCCUGCUGGGCUGUUGCUGACGCUGAGGCGCGACAGCGUGGGGGAGCAA
rnacentral:rRNA from 1 species